CAGCCCCCUCGCUUCCCCCUCGGGCUGCUCCGUGCCCCGCUCAGCGCUCCCGGCCCCACCUUCCUGCUCAACAGCAGCUGUAAGGCUGUUCUGGCGCAUACAUGCCCUCACGGGGACACAAUUGCUCGAGGAAAACAUUUCCCCUUCUUUUUCCUGGCACGGCUCUAGGCAGUUUCCUGAGCGGAGCAGUGACGAAAGGCAGAGGCUGUGGCCGCUCGGGCAGUGACGGCGGGACGCCCUUCGCCUCGGCUUUGCGGGCUCCAGGUCUGCCCUACUUCCCUGGAGGAGUGUUUAUCAGCUAAAGGAUUAGUGCAUUUGCAGUAUCACAGAGAGAGCAGCAGCAAGACUGAGACAAUGGACCCCAGUGAAAUGCCUUGGUGGGUGAUGACUAGAGCACAUCCAGGGGUGCUAAGCAUCCAAUGAUCAGCAUUCAAUAGCAUCGGGAGGAACAAAGCUGGAACAUGUUGGAUGCAGAAUCUCUUGGGAAGGGCUAUUGUCCCAUGCUGAGUUUCUCACUGCUGACAAUGCUGCAACCAGUGAGUGGCUAUGUGACAGGAGAGAGAGGAGGGUGACUCCUUGCUGGUCUGCAGAGGGGGCCUUUACUUCCCUGAUUUGCUCUGCUCAGUAGAAGUAAAACAUCUUAUUUUCAUUAUUACAAGUAACAUUUUUAGUUCUGAACUGAACACUUAUGGAGGAAGGCCUAAAAAACCACUAAAGCUAUUUUUUAUUAGUUUGGAUGGAAAUCACUUUCUUCCUUUCUUCUAAUGCCUGGGAGUUCUUGCCAUAAGUUCUAAAGAGCAAUACAUAAUGGUGGUACCAUUGUGAGUGCCUUUCAGCUCCAAAAUCCCCUGGGACUGGCUUUUAACGUGGGCUGCAGGGAAUGGAGAUGAUGACUUGGUGUUAGAAGAAAGAGGGAUGCUGUCUUGGGGCUGUGUAGGGUUAAGCAUGAGCCCGUAGUCCCCACAUUCUUCACAUCCUGGAGUGCCCCCAGCUCGUAGCAUGUUUUGCAUUGGAGAAUCACUGUCAUGUCACCAAAACCAGCUAUGUGUCACUGAUGGGGUAAUGCAAUUGCAGAACCUUCCACGUGUCCUCAAAUUUGCCACAGGCCAUAAAGCUUCCAGGGCAGUGGCCUGAGGUCCCACCUGGGUCAGCAAACUGGUGAGGAAACUCCCCUGUCACCCCUGUCAGACCAUUCAGAUGCUGCUCUGAGGGUGCCACUGUCAGCACACUGGCACUGCUGGGGUCACAGCCCCUUGGCAGCAGAGGCUCCAGUGACCCCACAGGCCCCGUGUGGGUCCCUGCACACCCCACGGCCCCCGUGUGGGUCCCUGCACACCCCACGGCCCCCGUGUGGGUCCCCGCACACCCCACGGGCCCCCCAGUCACACCAGCUCCUCUCACCAGCUCACCAGGUUCCCACAGCACAGUCCCAGUUCCUUUGUGGUGCAGGGACACAGAACAGCUGAGCUGGUGCCCUGGGGGAGACCCCAGACAAAGCCCCUCCAGGCUGUGCCCAUCCUGAUGCUGAUGUUUAGCCUGGCUCCUAUUCCUGACUCCUGCAGAGUCCCAGAGCCCUGACAUGGCUCCUUAGGGCCCCAAACCCUUGGUCAGGCAAAGGGUCAGUGCCAGGUCCCAGCCCCUUGCUGGGGGCUCUGGCCAUUCCCCCCACUCUGAGCACAACCUGCAGAUGCUGCAGCUCCCUGAGCUGGGCACUGGAGCAUCCCACAACAACCCUCCCUUUGUUUUAGUGGAGCACCCUGCUAAUAUAUUGAAAGGAAAAAGAAAAAAACUUCCAAGAUAUUUGAGUACUGCCCUUAUAUACAAUAUUAUAACAAGUAAAAAACAUAGCAGAAUUAAGGCCAACAGGGUGAAGUACAACAUAGACUCCUGUGCACAAAUACUUCACAAAAUCACAAAGGAUUCUCAGAAGGCAGUUAUUUAUCAACCUGUUGAUCACAGAAUCACAGAAUCAUUAAGGUUGAAAAAGACUUCUGAGACCACCAAGUCCAACCUGUGAUCAAGCACCACUUUGUCCACUAGGCCAGAGCUCUGUGCACCACAUCCAGUCUUUUCUUAAACACCUUCAGGAACAGUGACUCCAACACCUCUCUGGACAGCCCAUUCCAGUGUCUAAUCACCUUUUCUGUGAUUGUCCUUCCUAAUGUCCAAUGUAAACUUCUAGUGCAGCUUGAGACUGUCCUCUUGUCCUGUUGCUGGCUGCCAGGUAGAAAAGCCCAACUCCCACCUGGUUCUACCCUCUUGUCAGGAAGUUGUGAAGAGCAAGAAGGUCCCCUCUGAGCCUCCUUUUCUCCAGGCUGAGCCCUCUGAGCCCCCUCAGCUGCUCCUUAUCAGACACUUGCUCCAGAUCCUUCAUCAGCUUUGUUGCUCUUCUCUGGACUCAGCACCAAAAUGUCCUUCCUGAACUGAGUGGCCCAGAACUGCACACAGAACUCAAAGUGCUGCCUCACCAGUGCUAAGUUCAGGAGAGGAAUCUCCUCCCUGGUCCUGCUGGCCACACCUUGGCUGGUACAGGCCAGGUGCUGUUGACCUCCUUGGCCUGAACACUCCUGGGCUCGUGUUCAGCUGCUGUUGACCAGCAUCCCCAGGCCCUUCUCUGCUGGGAGCCUUCCAGCCACUCUGCCCCAAACCUGCAUCACUGCAGGGGAUUUUUGUGGCCAAAGUGGUGCAGGACCUGGGAACUGGUCUUUUUGAGCCUCGUGCUGUUGGUCUUGGCCCAUCAAUCCAGCCUGUGCAGAUCCCUCUGCAAGGUCUUCCUACCCUCCAGCAGAUCAACACUGCCACCCAUCUUGGUGUCAUCUGUGAAUUUACUCAGGGUGGGCUCAGUCCCCUUAUUCAGAUCAUCAAUAAAUAAACUGAACAGAACUGGGCUCAACAGUGAUCACUGCGCACUGCUAGUGAAACUAAUUGAACAGAUCAUCUUCUGGUUGUUUGAUGUGAGAAGAGUAUAUCCAAUUUUUCUUACCCAUAACUUUAACAACAAAAUAGGAACACAGUAAAACAGCACAUGACCCCUCCUAUCUAGGUACUAAUUUGGAUUUUCUAGAGAAUACCUUAUUUAAAAUUCCAUCUCCAGGCUGUAAAUCAUGUACCUGUAUUUCGGGGGAUUGAGCUGAUAACACUGAGCAUACUUUGUUCUUUGAACCCUUUCUGAUUAUAUAUGACACACUGGGUCAAUCUCCAUCCAAUAAGCUGGGAUAUAAGAUCUUGGCAUAGCUAAGUGCCUUCCAAAGAGAAUUUAUGUUCUUGUCAGCCCUAUAGCUUAUCACAGAGUAUUCUGAGUAUGCCACAGAGCCAAAUGUAAGGCUUCUGGACAUUUCAGAUUAGUGUACAUGUAUCUUUUCACUAUCUUUUCUUUUAAUGUUCUGUUAAUUCUCUCUGCUUCUCCUGAAGACUGUGAGUGAUGUGGUAUAUGUAAUUUCCUUUCUCUCCCUAAAGAUUUGUACAGCUGAUGGAUUAUAUUUUCUGUAGCCAGGCAUUUACUACUCCUUCCAUGUCAGCCCUUCAUGUUGGAGAGGCUCCUGCCCAGCCUGGCAGCUGACCUACCUUCACCAGCCACUCCUGUCCAUGGGAUCUGUGCAACCACUGGAAAGGGAAGCAGGCCCAUGGUGACCCUUCCACCUCUGAGCUCGCUCUGUUACAUCAGAGCUGAGCUUUGGGCAAGCUGCACAGCUAUUAGUAAUUUAUUUUGCAGCAGCCUGAAUUCCUGGAGCUGCCCGCACUUUUUGUCCCUCCAUGGGCUUUACCCUGAAACCAUCGGACCACAGUUACUAAACAUUUCUUUGGCAGAGCAGUUUUUCUCCAGCUGACCGUAUUCCAUCAUCAUUUUGAGUUGCCUCCCACUUUUCCCAUCUCUUUCACAGAAUCACAGAAUCACAGAAUUUCCAAGACUGGAAGAGACCUAUUCUCCUUCUGUUGAGCCAUCUUUCUCUUAGAUAGUUUGAAAUUCUGUCAAAUUGGGCCUUUCACUCUCAACAGCCAUCAGACAGAGUCACAGUGCCCCAUCAUGCCAGAGGCUGCCUAGCUGUGCCUUCACAGCUGCAUUAGCUGGGGCACUGCCUCUGCCAACCCCUGUAAUGCCUCCAGAGUGGGCUGGACAAGGCACUCCAGCAGUUUCUGCAGGGAAUUCUACAGCUUCUAGCAAACUGCAUAUUUCUUCUCCAUUGGAUACUCUGCUGAUGUGAAAAAUCCCUGCCCUUUCCAUAACAUUCCUGCUGCAUGACAAACACCAAAAGUGUAGCAAAUAUCAAAUGUAUAGCUGUUAACUCAGUUCCCUCUUCCCAGAUGUGCAGCAGGAGCCAGGGCUGCUCCCUGUGUGCUGCUCCUUGCUAGGAGUGGUUCAGCUUCUGUUCCCUGUCCCUGGCAUCCCCAUGGGUGGCCUACCCAGACCAUCACUGUCCUUGCAGGUAGGAAGAUGAGCCCAGAGCUAGACCUUGGUUAUUAUGUGAGGGAACAUCAGUUAAUGGAAAUCUUCAUCCCUUGCUCAGACUGGAGAUGUGCUUCUCCAUUGUCAGGCAGAGGCAUUCGGCUCACUGCAUUCGAGGUGUUGCAUGUUUUUAAGAGUAUCUGCUGUUAGGAGGAUUUGUUGUGACAGAGCUGGGGUUGGAUACUUUCAACAGUAUCUCCACCUCCUGUGGGACCUGGACUGUUGCAGGAUGUCCCAGGGUGGGGGGGUGGCUUUUCUCUAAUGUUGCUGCUGCUGCCACCACCGAUCUAUGACAGGCUGGUGCUCCCCCUGCAACUGGAUCCAGAUGAACUGAGGAAUGUGUGACCAGUCUGGUAGGGUCCCGUUUCCUAUGUUGUUAGUCCAGUGGCCGUUUCUUUAUGUUCAUGUGCACACACACACACACACGUAUUAAAUAUAACUUUUUUUCAGUAACAAAAAUAUUUUCCUUUUCACUGAAGGGAAAAUACAAAACAUUUGGAAUGGAACCAGUUUCCUGCUCAGGUAGGACUUUUUGCCCACUGUCCUGGAAGAAAAUGAAAGUUUUCCCAAGUUAAUAGAAAUAAUAUUAGUGUAAGAAGCUUUUCUGCUGCUUUGCACAUGCCACUAGUCGCAGCCAUAGGUGAUGCCCUCCCUUCAUGAAUAGAACACACCAGAUCUUCAAGAACAGCUACAACAGCUCUCCUUAUUCUGAGGGAAGUCUUCAAAUAUUACUUGUAUGGUAUGUUUAUCAUCCCUUCACCUAAUAUAAAUGUACAUGGAGAAAAAUGUGCUUUUAUAAAUGUUCUUUUAGAAAUAUACAAAAAUAGCAAAUUAUGAGCAAGUGCAUGUCCACAGGGAAUCUCAUAUACAUACAAAAAUAAAGUGGUGGUUGAGCUGACACACA